GGGGAGGCCGCGGAGAUGGCGAGCCGCGCGUGACUGUAAAUCACGUUCCGAACGGAUUAGGGGGUUCGAAUCCCUCCCUCCCCA
rnacentral:tRNA from 1 species